UUCAAGAAUUUUUUAAUAAAAAUGAAGUUUGUCUGUUAGUUUAUGUUUUGAUUGUUUCAAUUUCAAAAUUAUUCAGUGUUGUCCAUGUACUAGUUGUUAUAUAAAAAUUGUUGUCCUCUUUACGGUGUCUAGUAGCGACAUUUUAUCCUCCAACCAUUAUACAUAUUUAACUUACUAUUUUUUUUUUAGAUGGCAGUACAGCAGAUCAUUCAAUACACGCUGAGACAUGAAUUCACAUUUCUACCUCUAUGCUAAAUAUCAAUAUCCUACGUUGAAAAUGUACUUGACGAUACUGCUAAUAAUAAUGGUUUUGUGCAACGUGCGUGUAAUGGAUGGCAGUACAGCAGAUCACUCAAUACAUGCUGAGACAUGAAUUCACAUUUCUACCACUAUGCAAAAUAUCAACAUCCUACGUUGAAAAUGUACUAGACGAUACUGCUAAUAAUAAGGGUUUUGUGCAACAUGGCAGUACAGCAGAUCACUCAAUACAUGCUGAGACAUGAAUUCACAUUUCUACCACUAUGCAAAAUAUCAACAUCCUACGUUGAAAAUGUACUAGACGAUACUGCUAAUAAUAAGGGUUUUGUGCAACGUGCGUGUAAUGGAUGGCAGUACUGCAGAUCACCGGAGGCAUGCUGAGACAUGAAUUAGCAUUUCUAUCACUAGGGAAAGUUACAACAUUUUCCGUUGAAAAUGGAAUAGAAGAUGGCAGUAUAUCAGAUCAAUCAAGGCACGCUGAGACACGAAUUCACAUUUCUACCACCAAGGAAAGAAUCAACAUGCUAUGUUGAAAAUGGACUAGAAGAUACUGAUAAUAAUAUUGGAUUUAUGCAAUGUGCGUGCAAUGGUUAUUGAAUAUAAUUGAUUCUAAAUUAAUAGCUGUGAAACAAUUGAGAUUUGUUAAAUAUCUGAAUAAAAUAAUAGUAAACACCUUUA